GCGCCGUGCGGCCCCGGGGCGGCUGGCGGAGCCGGCGGGGCUGGAGGGGCGGCGGGGCCGGGCGGGAGCGGGGACAGCCAUGGGGACGCAGGGGGCCGGGAGGAAGCGGCUGCCGAACCGCGAGCGCCUGACGGCCGAGGACGAUGCGCUCAACCAGAUCGCCCGCGAGGCUGAAGCAAGACUGGCAGCAAAGCGAGCGGCACGGGCAGAGGCACGGGAGAUCCGCAUGAAGGAGCUGGAGCGGCAGCAGAAAGAGAUCUACCAGGUUCAGAAGAAAUAUUAUGGUCUGGAUACUAAGUGGGGAGACAUCGAGCAAUGGAUGGAAGACAGUGAGCGUUAUUCCCGUAGAGCCCGAAGAAACGCCUCGGCUUCGGAUGAAGACGAGCGCAUGUCAGUGGGUAGCCGUGGAAGCCUGAGGUCCCAUUUGGAAUAUGCCAGCACCUACCCAGUGGCUGGAUUAGAGAAUGAGAGGACCAAAAAGAAGAGCUACUCCAAAGCAAGCAAUGGUUAUGAGGAAGACGCAUAUGGAUCAUCCCAGAGUAGGAAAUCUAGCAGGGCUUCCUACUACUCUGACCUGGGCCUUCACAACAGCGGCUACGCUUCCACAUCUCAGCCUUCUUCUUCCCAGAACGGAAACUGGCCUUCCUUGCUGUACAGCGAUGCCCUGCCAGCCAGAAGCCACAGGGCGUCUGUGUAUGACGAGAGCGUUUACAGCGGGAGCCGUCGGUAUAGUGCCUCUAGUUCUCGUGCUCCUUCCGAGUACAGCUGCUACCUCGGUUCAGGAUCUCGGGCAUCCUCAAGAGCCAGCUCUGCUCGGGCCAGUCCAGUGAUCGAGGAAAGGCCAGAGAAAGACUUUGAGAAGGGAGCACGCACUGUCUCAAGUUUAUCAGCUGCUACCUUAGCUUCUCUGGGUGGGACUUCUUCACGAAGAGGCAGCGAGGAUACAUCCAUCUCUGCUGACACAGAGGCAUCUAUUAGAGAAAUAAAGGAUAUCUAUGAGUUAAAGGACCAGAUUCAGGAUGUAGAAGGCAGAUACAUGCAGGGACUGAAAGAAAUGAAGGACUCUCUGGCCGAAGUUGAAGAGAAAUAUAAAAAGGCUAUGGUGUCAAAUGCUCAACUAGACAAUGAAAAAACAAAUUUCAUGUACCAAGUAGAUACCCUGAAGGAUGCACUCUUAGAGUUAGAAGAGCAGCUGGCAGAAUCCAGGCGGCAAUAUGAAGAAAAAAGUAAAGAAUUUGAGAGGGAGAAGCAUGCUCAUAGCAUAUUGCAGUUUCAGUUCAUGGAAAUCAAAGAGGCAUUGAAGCAAAGAGAAGAAAUGCUUGCAGAAAUCCAGCAGCUGCAACAGAAACAGCAGAGCUAUGUCAGGGAAAUUUCUGAUCUCCAGGAGACAAUAGAGUGGAAAGACAAAAAAAUAGGGGCGUUAGAGAGGCAGAAAGAUUUCUUUGAUUGCAUAAGGAGUGAGCGGGAUGACCUUAGAGAUGAAGUGGUUGUGCUGAAGGAGCAACUGAAGAAACAUGGAAUAAUCCCAGACACUGACGUAGCCACUAACGGGGAAACAUCAGACAUUCUCAACAAUGAAGGACACUUGGAUUCUUCCAAACAUGUUCCAGGCGCAACUCAGGCGUUAAAGACAGGGGGGGAUGGGAUGCUAGGCAAAGCCAAUGAAGUGGACAUGAAAAAUGAGAUUUUGGAGGAUGUGGGGAAAAAAGAAAUCUUGCAGAAUACUGAGCGUGAGGAACACAAAGUGGAGUCUGAGGAGGAGGAAGUACAGACAUUGCAUGCCGAUGAAAAUGCAAGGGCAGAAAAAGUGGUUGAAGAACGCGAUGCCCUGUCAACAGCGAUGGUACCAGGUAGCAGGUUUGCAGAGCAAAUUGAAAGCCUUACGGAACACGUGUCAGGGAGCGGUUCUUCAAAUGACGAUAGUGAUGCAGGUGAUUUGAGAAAGGAGACAGAGUCUGCAGGCUUAGCAGUUCAGCAGCCUGCUAGCACGGAGGCUGAACACCGGGAUUUAAAUGCAAAGACAAAUCAGAACUCGGAGGAGGGCUCUCUGCAAGGUCAUCAGAUGUUUGAGACUCCUCAGGAAAUGCCCAGUGUCUUAAGUACAGAACGUGAACUGGAAAAAGCUGCCCCCGAACAGGAAGAACGAGAGGAUCUUAAGGCCAACCAUGGCCUGAGUGAUACUGAAAUGGAUCAGGAAGUUACAAGUGAGAGCUGUGAGUUGGUUGCUAACCAGGCAGGGCUACCAGAGGGUGCAGCAGCAGCCUCGCUUAGCGGUGGGGUAAAUGUGGAGAGUCACGCUGAGGGGCUCCAGGGCUCAGAGGGAAGUGCUGAAAACGAGGUUACAAAUGUCUUGGAGGAAAAGCAUGUUGAAAGCAAAGACUGCACUGAUGGAGGAACCGGCAAAACAGGAGGUGAUGGAGCUGAAGAAGAAAAGGUUGGGGAUGUAGCUCAGGCUCAGACGAGGGAAAUCGAACCUGUGGGUUUGGAGGGAACGGAGUCAUGCGACAGUGGUGUUCCAGCAGAUGCAAGUGAAAAGGAAGAAAGUGGAGACCAGGCACACAUCCAAGCAGUUUCUUCAGAGGACAGUCCUUUAGCAUCGUCAGAGGAACAAAAUAAGCAAGAUAAAACUGAAUUUGAAAAUGCUACGGCUGAGAAGGACAGGCAGGAGGAAGUGCUAACGGAGGUGUCUCCAGAUUCUGCAGAAACAGGCGAGCAAGAUAAGGCAUUUGUGGAGGCUGGAGGCUGUAUAAGUGAGGAAAAAAGAGAUGAGGUUCAGCAGGCAGAGCCAGGCACAGGCAUUGUGAAAGAGGUGACGAUUCAGCAACCCAGUUUAGACCCAAGUCUUUUGGAUGACAAAAUUCAGGAAUCGGAAUUGGAAGCUGGGUAUGAGUCGGGGAAAGGAAAGGAAAACAGGACAGAGUGUGUAGAAGAUCUAAAGACAAAGGUAGAGAUUCAAACGGUUCAGUUUAGUGAAGAAACAGCAGCUGAUAAAGUGGAAGAGAAAAAUAUUACCUUAGAAGGUGAAACACAGAAUGUGGUUGAACAAGAGGCAGGUGAAUCUAAAGAGGAAUCAGGUGUAGGCGUUAGGGUAACUGCUGAAAAUGAAGUUGAUAAAGAAACACUGAAAGAAAAUGAGAAAGAGUUAGAGCUUGUGGACCACCACAGUGGUGAAUUUGCUUCUGAGGAAAGUGGAUUUGCUUCCAAGGAAGGUGCAAGUAAUUCCCUUGCACAGGAAGCUAAGCAAGAUGAAAAUGUUAGUGAACAAGUUAAGUUAGAGAGUGAAGAAGAGGGAAGACUGGAAGAUGAUGGUGAUGUGUUUGAUUUUGAUGAGGAGUCAAACCAGAUACUAGAAACUGCUGAAAAAUGUGAUGGAGAGAAAGCCGAUACACAGAAAGGAGAGGGUGUUGGAGCAAAUGAUGCUCUUGGAAAAGUUCCCCAAAUAGAUGAAGCCAGAGAGAAAACAGAAACCGAAGCCACCUUGAUUGAAGGUGACAGCUUGCAACAGGAAAAAGGAGAUGAGCUUGCAGAAACAGAGCAUUUGCAAGGGGAAGCGUCAUGGAAAACUGAUGACAAGAGUGAUGUGAUGGAAGAUUCCAAUAAAGUGGAAAAAAUACCAGAUGGAAAUGUUUCGGAACAGGAUUUUGAAAGCGCGGGCAAUACCAGGGAUGAAAGCAAGGAGGAUUUGCAGGGUGGUAGAAAGGGUAAGGGGAGAUCCAGAGAUGACUGUACAGUAUCCUAAGGUCAUAAUCUCCAGGCUACGCGAGCUACCUGCCAUUUGCUCAGUCCCAGUACAGACACAUGCACUUUGCACAACACAUUGGACCUUAGGAAUGCUCUGAAGGCUUUUUCUUUAUAGGUAACUCAUCAGACUUCAAUGUUACGUAAGUGGGAAUGAUGCAAGUAUUGAGUUAUUCACUGGCGUACCUCGCCACAAGAAAUACGUGUGGGUUUGGAUUUGCUGUGUCUCAGGUUUAAAGCUUAUCACCAAAAGAGCAAGCUUCACAAAUCAGCUAGUCAGACCACCUUGCAAUUAAAGUACUUUUAGUGUGGAGAGCUGCUCCGGAGGAGAUUCUAUAGGAAAUCCCUUUUUUUCCUAGCCUAGCUGAUAGAUGUCUUGAGUGUACUUAUGUUCAUGCUUAUGUGUACCUACGUGCCUUGGAUCUACAGUGAGUACAUCAGCGCUUCAUGAAGGAACUCGGUAGAUCAGCAACACUGAUCUGAUGUGGAAACUUCUUUCUGAACAGUUAAAGCAUAGGAUCCAAUUCUUUAUAGAAAAAAAAAAAAAGGAGACAUUCCCAUUCCACUUCAUGUGUAUUUCUGCUAUGGUCACAUUCCAAAAGGUAGUUAAAUAGAUCCCUUUGAACCUGCUUAGCCUAAACACUUUGGAAGAGAAAUAUAGGGUUUGAAGGAAGUGUGAGGGACAGGUCUUAGCCUGCUGAAAGGAAUUCACGUUUACUCCAUCCAGGCACUUUGCACCACGAGAGGCCUUUGACACCACGGCUCACAUAUCUUUUCCACUGAAAGUGUCCACACACAUUGCCGUGUGUGUGUAGGUUUGCCUUCAAGUACUGUCUAGCUAUGAAUAUAGAGAAUACCUAUUUUUCCAAGAAGAUUUUUGUUUAAAAUUGUAUUUCUUUACUACAUUAUAUUUUUUUUUGCAAACUGUGAUCCUGAAGGAAUGUUUUUAUCUCUGAAAAAUUCUUUCCUCUUCCUUUCUGGAUAGAAGAUGACUUUGCAUGUCUUAAUUCUUGUUGGAUAUCAGACCAAAGACGAUUGUUUUUCUCUAUACCAGCCCCCAUGCCUUUUGAAAAGGUGGAUUGCUUGAAAUUGCUGGCAUGAAUUGGACACUUUGCAUUGGUGUUAUUUCUUCUUGCAUCUUUGAUAGCGCUUGGGAGGAAGAGCAUGUUUUGCAUACUUUAAAAAAAUCAUUUAAAGCUAUUUGAAGCAGUGAACAUCCCAAGGGAAUGCAAGUUGAGGAGCUGGGGGAAGGGGUCUGGAAGCCCAUAUUUGUGCUGAUGUUACAAAGCUGAUGGAGUCCAAACAGACUGCAAACUGUCAAGGUGUAUAUCGAAAUGUACUGAGCUGUAUAUAAUUGAAAUAAACAUAUUUUAUACUUUAAACUGCCUGUCCAGAGCACUGUUUAUAAACCUGCAUAAAUAUUUAUUAAAAUCUAUAUAAUUUCAAAGCCAUUUUUCUGCAGCUUUCUUUGUUAAAUUGAUUGCAUUACUCUGCGUAGCGGAAAAAUCCGUCUUAUUAGGAAUGGGCAGCGCUGGUGUUUGAGGACCUUUAAUAGAUGAUGGCGCCCGUGACUGCAAACCUCUAAUGGGACUGUAAACCUGUGACUCUUUUCAUAUGGCUUCUCUCCAUCUCACAGCAGUUCCAGUGUGGUUUCUGUAAGUAUUAGCAGUUGUUCUUCUUCAGGGGUUGCACUAAGUGCAAAUUUAAGGAGUCAUUGACCUUAAAAGCAUCUCUUCUUAGUAGGUAGGAGUGUUUAUUUAAAGAUUUGUCUCUGCAACAUAAUAGUUUCAUGCUGAAAUAUUUAUGUUUAAAGAUUAAAGACACUUAAAUAUGUAAUUCAGCGUGCUUACCAGGCAUCACCUGUACUUGUGGAUGGAUCUGUAAACAGCUCUGAGUUACAUUAGGUGCUUUCCAGCAUUUCUUGUCCUUUUCCUAUGUGCUCGUUUCUAAUAGAAAUGCUUCUGUGUGGUUGAGGGAACUAAGAGCGAGGUGGUUUUCCGCUUCAGACAGCAAAGCAUCUGUCAGAAAAGUCCUUUUUAAUGCCAAAUCACAGAAGGAGGAACGAACACCUCUAUUCUUAACUGUCCCUGUAUGAGCUCUCAUCCCACAGUAACCAGCCAGCUCUCAGUCACUGGGGCAGGAGCAGGAACACGGACAGGUAGUGCAAAGUAGCUGAUGGACUACAAACACGUCCUUAAGCGUUAGCUGUUGGCAGGUGGUCCCUGACUUCUGGAAUUCUGCAAGUACAGUGAAGGAGAAGGUCGUGGUGUUCUUUACCUCCUUGGUUUUCACUUGAGUACAUGCAUAUCGAGGGAGAAGGUGAGGUCUCCCAGGAAAAUUGUCUUGGAAAUAAAGGGAACUACUAGAUUUUAUAGUCAAAAUUUAAUAAAAUAGGCCACCUAGAACUGAGUGAGAUGUGUGCCAUUAGAGAGGAGGGGGAGGCAGUGCCUCAGGGGGCAUUACCUAGAAAAUGCAUCUUCUGUGAAGUUACUCAAUUGAAAACAACAGCUUUUGGUAUUUUCGUUGCGAUAUCUAACAGGUACAAGAAAAGAUCUAGCUUGUCCCUUUCUUCGUUGGUUUUGGCUUUCAAAGACAGCAAAAAAUCAGACCUUUUGAAACCAAGAAAUCAUGAGAUGAACUAAAAUCAAGAUUCUUGUUUGCUACUGUUACGUCACGCUUUGGUUUGAGCAGGGACAGUCUACACCACUCAUAGAGUAGCUCCAUGGCUCCAGAUGCUCUGGGUUUUCUGCUCAGUCCCUGGUGGCACAUGGAGCUUGUCACCCAGGUUUGUGCAUUGCUGUGAAUUCAGAGCGAGCCUCCAAUGUUUUCAAAAGCCAUAGCUGAAGAAACUUUUUUUUCUUUCAUUUCUUAUCCAGUAAGUCAUAGUGAAAGGCCUUGGUCAAUACUUUCUUUAUUACAGAAAAGAACAAUUCUCCUGUCCUUCUCAAUAUCAGUAUUGCAAGCUGUUGUCUUCUAAAUCCCAUUCAUUGUCCCAACAGCCUGUCCCCAGCAGAAUCCCUCUUCUGGGAGAGAGUGGAAGGCAUUCCUCGAUAUUCUGCUGUGUUUAUGUGUGUGUUUGUUUUCUCAUGAUUCAAGACAAACUGACAGAUCUGGAGAAGGAAUAUCACCCAAGCUGCUCUUGAUCCGACCGUCGGGUUCUUGCAGACUGCUGUGGGGCUGCUGGUUCGAGUUCAUGGGAUGCCUUCCCCCCUUCCAAGUACAGUUUACCCCUCUCAUUUGCAUCCGCAUUAAUUAUUUGCCGGGACGUACAUUAUACAAAUCAUUCAGCUGCUCCUCACCCCCUUCUCCGCUCCGAGGAGGAAGAGGCGUUGGGGAUUUGUGGCUCAUGAGGGGAUGUUAGGUCAACUGUGCCACUGGAGCAGCAUCCUAGUUAGCAACACCGCGAGUCAACUGCGGUAUUGAGGUAAUGAGCACGAUGUCGAAGUAAAUAGAACAGACUUUUAAACAAGCCUGUAUGAUAGCAGAAGACUCUGGUCACCACCACCCCCCAUUCCCAGGCCUUCCCAGGGCCCAGCUCCUCACAUCAGCCCUCUCUUUAGCCUCGGUGCGUAUGAAAGCCAUGAGCUGGUGCAGGGAGUAACCUGGGAAUCGCGUUACCAAAGGUAAAUUGAAGUGAGGUGAACGUCACAUUCUAAUUAUCCAUUAUUCCUAUGGGAAAUAAGGCUAAUGACCGUUACAGAUGAGAAUUGUAAUUAGCUGCUCCUUGUCCUAAUUCAGUAGAUUGUUCUCUUCUGCUCACCUGUUCUGAAGGUCCUUGCUUUGUUGGACAAAUGUCUCUUAAAUGCAAAAAUAAGAUGGCUCUGGAGAGAUGUAUGUUAAAGCUAAAGUCAAUUUUCCAUGUCAGUGUGGGCCUUUAUCAGAAGUUAACCCUAGGAGUCCUUCAUCUCUACAGAGAAAACUUUCCUACGUAAAUGGCAGUUUUAGCAAACUAAUUUUUCCUGUUGUCUUAUAAAUCCCGCUGCCAGUGUGUCAUCCAUCCCUGCAGGGUGCACGGAUGUCCCUCAUGAAGGGAGGGAGGGCUGAUGGCGAGAUCAGAUUUGAGGGCUCAUCCGAAAAUACUAACAGCCGUUUUGCAGCAAAAGGGAUUGGGGGAAGCUGAUGUGCUUCCUUCCUGGAACCUGGAGGAGGUGUCCUCUUGUCAGGCAGGUGUGUUUCACCCCUCAGCAGUGGUUAUGCUCAUGGCAGUUACAUCAGUGUGCACAUGACUGUUAUUUUCAGAGUCAAAGUGGAUUAUUUGGCCCCUUUGGAGUCAGUGAGUUUGGGCUAAUUUUAUAGGGGCCUGAAGGUCUCCUUCUGCAUCAGUCCUUGUUCUCUUUCCAAUCUUUAGCGCUUUAUUUCUUGGUCUCUUCUGACCCGUGACUCCCAACCCUAUCUCCAAGCCUGAAUAUCUCUGACCUUUCUUUUACUGUUUGCUCUCCUUGCAUUCUUCAUUGACUUUUAUUUUUGUCCUUGUAUUUCACCCCACAUCCCACUUUCAUCUUUUAAAGAAUUUCUCUCUUGAGCUUCCUUUACUUCCCAUAUGGAUAAGUGAAACCAUUCUAGUAUUUUGAAGGAGUUUAUGCUUGUAAAUUUUUGUUACUCUUGAUGUUUUACAACAAUGUGGUUGGUUUGUUCUUUUUGUUUAUGUUGUUUUUCCAUAUCAAUGCUCAGAUGUUACAAUGUUGGGUGUGUUACAAAUGACUAAAAAACAGGGAUAGGACUGGAGGAGGUUCAAAAGGAAUACACAGAACUGCUGACCUGGGAUGUCACUUCCAGAUCUGUGUUUGGGUAUCGCAUCCGAAGCCAAGGUAAAGGUUUCAUUCCGUGCUCUAGAGUGACUGCUAGUGCAUGGGAACUUGUAUACCCAGGAGGGGAAUGAUUUACCACGUUAUUAGUAGCUAACGGACUGUGCAUACUUGACACAGAGGGGCUCUUCUGUCUGAAAACUUCAGCUUUCCCCAUGGUUUGAUUCAAUGCAGACCCUUUGUUCCCUUUGCUUUGCGUGUUAACAAGAGAAGUGGUGACCCACAAGACUUUGGCCCAUUCAGGAUUUAACAACAAAUGAGGAUUUCAAAGCAUUCCAAAAAUACUGGUGUCUGUCAGCAGAAUUUACCGGGGAAAAGCCCACCAGCCUCUCACCUGUAAUUUCUCAAUCGCUUUCCUUAUGUUUAGAGAAAUUCCUUUUCUUUGAGUGACCUUUGGAUUUGAACCAUUUAAUUAACAGGCCAGACCUUAGACGUGGAGUUGAGCUCUGAACACCCACUGGCUUGGUUCGGCAUGGGUGGCGAGCUAAAAAGCCCUACCGCAAGCACACACUCAAACUUGUGUGGAGUAAGGCCUGCCUGGGGUCAAUAUUUCCUCUUCUGAUAAGAAUAUUUGAAUGCUAUGUUCUCUUGAGGUGUACUUCGACAAACUAAGGUUGUUAAUUCGUAAGGUAAAGUAAUAUGAAUGAUAAGAAAAUGCAUGAGUUAAGAUUUGUUGCUAAAAAAAGCUUUCACAUUUUACACCCCUUAACAGGGAAGAAGAAAACCAAAUGAUUUGCUUACUUACUUCGAGGUGUUUCUUCCAGCGGUCUCAUUCUGUAGCGUGUAUUUCAUCACUCAGUGCCAAACCUAUCCACGUGCCAAUGUGUAGCACAGCAAUUGGGGUGCCGAUCGCCCAUCACUUGCUUGAUGUUUGACCAGGAGAACUAUGAAGGACUAAAGGGAAAAGAACAUUUUGCCAGACUGCUACAUUUAAAACAAAAAUAAUCUAAUGGGCAAAUGUUUUUCUGGUUGUAAUAACGGGGGGUAACACAAAAUGUUAUUGUCAUGCUGUUCAGUAAAAGUGAAGAUUUAGAGCGCUGAGUUGUGCUUAGCUAUGAUUAUAGGUGUUGAUAGAGUAUUUGUGUUAUGUUAAACUGUAGAGAUUUUGUGUUGCAGUUGUGUUUGACCCUAGAGUUCUUGCAUGCUAACCUAACGUAGAAGAUUAGCCUCUUUGCAUGCAGCUGGGUGCUGCUACUGCCGUGACAAGCAUGCUCUGUGAGAAUGACAUAACUCCCCUGGCUGCAGCCCCUUCCCAGCCCUGUCUGUGGCCUCAUUGCCUGUGACAGGCUGAAAAAACUCAUUGAUGAACGAGAAACCUUACUAGACCAGAUUAAAAAAUUAAAGGGACAACUGGAAGAAAAGCAAAAGAAUGGCAAGAUGGAACAUAAGCAGUCCGAAGAUGAAGUUCUAGAAAAUGGG